GGGGAGUGAAGGUGGGGGGUGUGGUGGUCACGGUGGAUGAUGGGGUUGGGGGCUGACCUGGCGCUGAUUGGUGCUUUGUGCUCCCGCCCCCGCCCCCCCUCCCUUUUCUUUAUGUGGGGGUAUUUUGGGGUUUAAAAAGGCCAGAAAUGGGCUGGGGGCUUUAAAGGGGGGGUUAUGGGGAGGGUGGGGGUCCCUAUGGGUCCCUAUGGGGGUCCCUAUGGUUCCCUAUGGAUCCCUAUGGGUUCCUAUGGGGGUCAAGCCCCCCCCAAAGCUCCGCCCCUUUCCGCCUUAGCCCCGCCCACACUCGCCCCUUAUCAAUACAGUGCCACUCAGACCACGCCCACACAUAGCACGCCCACAAUCGCAUCCAGGCGGCCGCGUCCUGAAUUGGUCGCGCCUGGCAGCGCGCGCGCCGUCUGAUCUCCUGAUUGGUUCCGAAGGGCCAGCCGCCACUCGCGGCCCUCACAGCACCGUUGUAGCCAAAGUUGGAGCAGCGCGCGAGCCCCCACACUGCCACCGGCGGUAGACGAGGCGAAGUGGGGCGGGACUCCAAACUGUUUUCCUGUCGCUCCGGUGGACCCGGAGCGGGAUCGACCGAGACCCGCGGAUGUGUGACGUCACGGGGCGGCUCUCAGCGCCAUUGAGGUUCUUUGGGUGAACCCCCAGGAAAGUGUCUUCGGAAUAUCCGGAAGUGCUUUCUAGAAUGCCCCGGAAGUGCUUUUAGAAUGUCCCGGAAGUGCCUCCAUUGCCUAUGUGGGGCCUAUGGGGCAGAUGUGGGGCCCAUAGGUGGUUGAAAUCGGGGCCGGAGCUUCAUCCUGCCCCACAUCCCCGCCCCAUAACCUCACCCCAUAGCGGGGCAGACGACAGCGAUGGCGCAGCGGGCUGCUCCUCCUCAUGGCAGCAGCGCUGUCAGCCGCCCCCCCUUUGCCGGCCCCACUUUGCGUCGUGUCGGACCCGGCUGAGAUUCGCUGCUUCUCCCCACGGCGUCACGGGGGCGGAACCUUCGAACUGUUCGGAACCGGGAGCCCGGAACUGAUCGGUCGCGUCGUGGCUGAACCGGGUCAGAACCAAGUUCGGUUCCUAUUGGAUCGAACCGCUGCUGCUUUACGUUGUUACCGGGGCCGGUACCGGAUCCUUGAUGGAGACACGUGGAGGGAAUCCGAGCUCAGCGCCACCGUCAGCAUCAGCGGCAGCAGGAGGUGCAGGAGAACAACGCGUGGUGCCUCAAUGCAGGGCGUCGAGAUGGGGACGGCGAACACGGAGCCUGCAAUGGGGCGCCGUCGCGCCCCGUUUCCGGUGCCGUGGGGGGGGGGCGGGGGCGCGGCGCGGCGCGAAGAUGGCGGCGGUGUCGGUGUUCCCCGGCGUGCGGCUCCUGACCAUCGGGGACGUGAACGGGGAGAUUCAGCGGCACCAGGAGCAGCAGCCGCUCAGACUCGACGUCAGGGCCGGGCCCGACUGCGCUGCGCUGGCGUUAUAUGGACGUGAGAGAAC
ensembl:lncRNA